GGCAAGGUGGCCGAGUGGUUAUGGCGCUGGUUUUAGGCACCAGUGGGUUUCCCACGCGGGUUCGAAUCCCGUCCUUGUCA
rnacentral:tRNA from 1 species